CUUCUGCGAUGCCGUGUGGCGGGGUGUGAAGGCUGGCUUGCAGCUGUGGAGAAGAGUGAAGGUUCAGGCUCCGGAGCUUCAGAGUAAGUUCAGAUCUCCCCAUGGGCCCAAUGCUGAAAUUCCUGUCUAUGCAAAGGGUCACAACCCUCUUAACACAGUCGCCACCUUCAAUUUGUGAUGGAGCUGGAGGAGCCACAGGAAAGGGUGGUGGGGAAGGAAGAGUCCAACGCAGAGUGCCAAGAGUUGCCAGCCCUGGUGGAAACAAAACCAUCUCCUGCAAGAGUAACUGUAAGGAUAAAGAUGUCUACAGAGGACUUUGCCUGAUACAUGUGUUCAAACACCACCACCAAGACUAAGACGCUAUUGUUUUUGACCUGAAACCCUCAGUACCUUAAGUGACAUUGGGUCACUUUAGAAGAACCGCGAGGAUAUUUGAUACCUUUUCGUGCUUGGAUCCAAUGAGCAGACCAUUUAUCAAAGUGUGUGUCACACAUCCCUGAGAAAGGCCAUGGUUCUUUCCAUUGCAAUUUAAAGGUGCUGCAGUCACCUCUCCGCAUCAGCUUCCUGAGUCCUGGCUGCAGUCCUUGGAAAUGCCAUCCUAACCACAAAGGCAUGCGCUCUCCUCCAAUUCCACGGUGCAUUCCCAGGCUCUGAGCUCAGGCUCCCUGCGCUGACCACCUGCACACGGUGGGCUAUCUCAACCAAGCUCAUGGCUCUUGUCCCAGGCUACGCUAGCUGCGCCCAGAUGCCUAGCUCCAGACUCAUGUCCUGGUCCUGGCUGUCCGGCAGCAUCCCAAGCUCCCUUCUGCAAGUCUACCUCAGCCACCUGCUUCCCACUGCCGUCCCCACCGCCCUCAAUGACUUCACCUUUCCAAAAGUUUGGGCCCAAAACAUUGACAGCACCACUGACCCUCUUGUUUCACUAACAUAAAUUCCAUCAACAAGACCUCCAGAAUAUAUGGCCGCUUCUGAUUAGUGCCUUCGCUUCCACCAACCACAGCUGUCUCGGACUGGAUUAGUCUAACAGUCUCCUGAUUAGAAUCUUCCCUGUUCCCUCCAGUCUGUUCCUACGUAGAAGCCUCGCGUUCCUGUUAAAGAGGGCGAGACUGUGGCGGCUCUGCUCAAAAUCCUCCAGUGUGUCUUAUUUCUCUCAGAGUAAAGGCAGGGGGUGGUGGAACAUGGCACGCCAAAGACACCCUAAUAAAUAAAGAUUAUUUGUGCUAUA